UACGAAGGGGGCUAGCGUUGCUCAGAAUCACUGGGCGUAAAGCGCACGUAGGCGGCUCGUUAAGUCAGGGGUGAAAUCCUGGAGCUCAACUCCAGAACUGCCUUUGAUACUGGCGAUCUUGAGUUCGGGAGAGGUGAGUGGAACUGCGAGUGUAGAGGUGAAAUUCGUAGAUAUUCGCAAGAACACCAGUGGCGAAGGCGGCUCACUGGCCCGAUACUGACGCUGAGGUGCGAAAGCGUGGGGAGCAAACAGG
rnacentral:rRNA from 1 species